rnacentral:rRNA from 1 species
GGAUUAGAUACCCUGGUAGUCCACGCCGUAAACGAUGAGAGCUAGCCGUCAGGUAGUAUACUACUUGGUGGCGCAGCUAACGCAUUAAGCUCUCCGCCUGGGGAGUACGGUCGCAAGAUUAAAACUCAAAGGAAUUGACGGGGGCCCGCACAAGCGGUGGAGCAUGUGGUUUAAUUCGAGGCAACGCGAAGAACCUUACCAGCUCUUGACAUUUGGAUCGCGAUUUCCGGAGACGGAUUUCUUCAGUUCGGCUGGAUCCAGGACAGGUGCUGCAUGGUUGUCGUCAGCUCGUGCCG